CAUUGAAACACCGGUUUUCGUACGAUCAACGACGUUAAGCAACGCCGAGCCUGAACAGUAUCUUGAUGGGUGACCGCUUGCGAAUACCAGGAGCUGU